GUGAAAUGCGAUAAGUAAUGUGAAUUGCAGAAUCUCGUGAAUCAUUGAAUCUUUGAACGCACAUUGCGCCCUAUGGUAUUCCGUAGGGCAUGCCUGUCUGAGCGUCAGCUCGUCUUCUCAAGCUCUUUUGCUUGGAUAACAUUGGGGAAGCAAUACACGGUCGAUCCGGGCUCUGUGUGCUCCCCAGAAAUUUAUAGGCGGUACGGUUCUAGCAAACCAGACGUAAUAAUUCUUUAUCUCGUCCUUUGUUUUGGAGCUGUUGCUUGCCUCUUAAUCCACAUCUUUUUUCAAGAUUGACCUCAGAUCAGGUAGGGAUACCCGCUGAACUUAAGC
rnacentral:misc_RNA from 1 species